CUUAAUUUACACCUAUAUUGCAAUCUAAUAAAUAUUCUCAUUGUAUUAAUGCAAAUCUAUUUCAAAUAUUCGUGUAUUUAACAUAACAUUGCAUUUAGAUGUAUACAUUUAAAAUAUAUGAGGAACAAAAAACAAUUUAUUCUAAAAAGAAUUGGCAUGUAUGACUUAAAAGUUUUCAAAUAUGCUAGCAUUGUUUAUUUACAGGAGUUUGUUUGUUUGUUGAUAUCAUACAACUUCUUUACUCCGAAUUUUAGAUGCCCUAAAAUACCUAGAGUUUCUACUCGCCCCUUGAGUUAGGUUUCCUGAACCUUGCUCUUCUUCGAGAGAACCUUCUAAAGACAGGUCAUUGUCAGCUUCACCUGGAUUCUUAGCAGGUAAUGCCAUCAAUACCCUUAAUUAUAGGUCAUUUUUGUUGGUUCAAAAUCAAAGAUUGAUAAUGCUAGGACACUCAAAGACUCUAGUAACAUUGUGCUCCUUUUGAACCGUGAAUUAUUUUGAACCGUGAAUUAUUGUUCUAUGACCCGGCAAGACGAUAAGAACAAGACAAGAAAUGUCUUAUGCUUACAUUCAAAGAACAGUUUGACUGAAGAGUUGUCACAGCAGUCUUCACCCUACCACCGCCAUCAACUCUCAUUUCCAAAAUAACACAUCUAUUUUAUUUUUGGUUUUUUAAAAUUCUUCGUCGCUGACCUACAAUACUCAUAGUUGAAAUAUCUGGUGAUAUGAUAGUGCUAAUAACACCAUUACGAGGUGAAGAUUGGACCCGUCUCCGUCAACCUCAUUGUAUUUCUCGUUGUUUGAUGUGUGUCUAAAUUGUCUUAAUAUCAUUGUCAUAUAUUAACAUUAAUGACAUCAAAAGCACAUACCUGAGAAUUCUUAUUCUUGUUGAGAGACAACGCUUCUCUCGAUUCUGUGCAAGUUUUUUCUCUUGUAAAUUUCUUAAUUAUCCUUUGGUGAUGUGCAUCUGGCAAAGUCUGGAAUGAAGCUGAUCCAAUGGCCCGAUUUGAAAACUUGCGUUCACAAGCAGUGAUCAUCCUGUCUAUUUUCACUGUUCAAACAGAGCACCCGGUGCGGUUUUUUUUUGUUUAGAAGCUAUGUUUUGUGCAGGCACACUGAACUUGGCUUUCCAUACCGCACACGACAUUUAAGAUAAAAGCCACAUGGGUUGAUUAGAAAGGCUGCUCCUCAAGCCUGGCGAAAUAGUUUGAUUCACACUUUGCUAAUCAGAAGAAAAAAACUCUAGUGCUUCCCUGCAUCUAAUUGGAUCAUCAGGUUGAACAGUCCUCAUGUGCACUUUGACAAGGACCUGUAACACAUGAACACACAUACCCACAUUUCCGUAGAAAGUAUUUGUUGCGAUGAGCACAAUUAUACCUUUUGGCUAGUUCCUUUCAACCGAAUACAAUUCUGUGGAGACUAUUUACUCUCUUCGAUUCACCUGGAUAAACUUCCCAUGACCGAUUUGCUGACUUCGAUUAUUCUGUUGUGUUCCUUGUGUUGUUUGGCAUAGAUUGUAUCACCGACACCGAGCGUAAGGAAUUAGCUGAAGAACGAUUUGCGACUAUCCUGGAAUGAAACGACUUAGAUAAUUGGGCAUCUCGAAUGCUUGGCUGAAGAGGUGUCAUGCUAGGAGAUGUGUUCGGCACCAGAACGUGAACGACGCCAUCCAAAAAAGGAGGCCAAGUCACACUCCUAGUUUUUGAACGGUGAAAUGAAUGCAUAACGAAGACACCAUUUUCUCUAAAAAAAAACAGUGUAACACCUUAAAACUCCGAAAUCGAAGUGCACGUAGUGUGGACACACCAAGUGAACCGGUGUGGGGAUUUUGAGUAAAGAUGAGCAAGGGUAGGGGCUGAAAAUGGGGUAAAACUUUGUUGAUCACAGCCUCUCUGUGUGCAACAAUUUUCAACCAAAUAUUACUCUCAUUCUCAGGAAGUACACUCCAAAGGUUUCAAAUGUGCUAGAAUCAGAUCCCGAAUUCGAAAAUGCAGAGUCAAUCCAUACAAUCCCUGAUGUGAGUUUCGAAUCCUUGACAUACUAAAAGGCCGAACAAUGGCCUACGCAAUUGGUGAAUAACAGAAGACCAUAAAACCAAAACAAAACAAAACAAAACAAUCGCACGAGACGAGCCUAAUGCGACAGGGACAGUGCAAUGUAUGAUUCGGCAAUCGCCACAGGUCUUGCGCAUGCCAUAUUGUGCAUGUGAAGGCGGAGUUACCAAUGACAGAGGAUCAAAUUGAAGAGGACAUGGCCCUGCGAGGGACCAUGAACAGCGACGACGAAUUCGCGGCACUGGGCAGAGAGAAUGAAACCUACGCUAAGCUGCAGCUCGCAGAUGUGGGAAAUGGAGCCCAAAUCAUCUACGUGAAGGGUACUUGGUAUCCAACCCACUUCCUGAUGUCGGUGAUGGACGGCUACGACACUUGGGUCUGCAACGCUACGCAAGAGUUUGUUGCGCAUGAAGCCAGUCGGUGGGGGAUCGAAGUGGUGGAGUGGUUGGACCGAAUGCAUGCUCAUUUCAGCCAACAUCACUUGCAAAGCAAGUAUGCGUUCAUGUCCGUGGAUCCUGACGUCAAAAUGUUGGAAUGUUCAUUUCUGGAUGAGAUGAUGGAGGAAAGACUGUUGGUGAAACUAGAGUUUCAUAAGACCACUAGUUGUGGGAGCAUGGCCUAUGACUUAUUGGAGUUGCUUGUGGAUACAAACACCAAGCAAUAUGAAGAGCUUGCGCAAAAGACUCGUGACAUUCAAAGACUAGCUGCUGAAAUACGCAGAUUAAGAUAUGAUUUGAAAGAGUAUGGUACUCAUUCUGUGGGAGAUCAAAGUGUUAUGAAUUAUCAACAAUCUGAACAACAUGUGGAAUCAAAUAGUGUAAAAAAUGAACCAUUUGAAGAGAAUCAUUCUUCUACCAACCAAAACACUAACUAUUUCAAUGAAAAUGAAGAAUCUUCAUCACAUUAUCAAGAUCAGAAUAAUGAACAAUCUUCAUCACAUUAUCAAGAUCAGAAUAAUGAACAAUCUUUAUCACAUUACCAAGAUCAGGAUAAUGAACCAUCUUCAUCACAAUACCAAGAUCAGAAUAAUGAUUCACUCAUGGACAACUCUUGGAAUGAAGAGCAAAAUUUGAGGCAACAAAUGUUCCAUGAUCAUAAUUUUGUUUCAAAUGAUGGUGUUGUAUUGAAUGAUAAUGAUAUAGAGAAUAGUCAAUAUGAUCCAAUUGAAUCACCACAAAUCUUUAAAGAAGAAAACAUUGAAGAGGAUCAAUUGCAAUCACAAAACAAGGAGCAUGAGACCGUUAAUUUUCAUCACAAUUCGUCUAAUGAAGAUGAACAACAAAUUGUACAUACUUGUUCAAAACAUUCUGAAUUGGAUUGGAACCACAAUUCAAAGAACAUAAGUGUAGUAAUUGCACCUAUGAAGAUUACCAUUCACAAGAAAUUUGUAGUGGAUGUGGACUUUAAAGAGCAACUAUCAUUUUUCAAAUCUUCAUACAAUGAAGUUCAACAAUCAAUAAAAACAAAUUGGGAUUCAAACCUUCUACCCACACAACAUGAUUUACCACCACACAGUGAUCAAUACUUGUUGCCUCCAACUGUUGAACAACACGUGGAACCCAACAAUGAGUUUGAUAAUGAUAUCAUGAUUGAAGAAGAACCACAAGAUGAAGAUGUAUCAUUUGAGAUAGCACCUCCAUUUAACUUUGAUAGAGCAAAGAAAAGAGGCUCUAAAGUGAAUUUUAUACCCGCACCCCAAGAAGACGAGCCAAAAAAAACCUAUUACAAAACGCCUAAACAUUCAUAUGUAAAGUCUAAAAUGGAUGCAAGUGGGUAUGGGACGGAUGAAGAAAUUGAGUAUGAAAUCCCAUCAUCACGAAGUAAAAGUUAUGUAUCAAAUGGAAAUUCAUCAAAUAGCAAGCAUAGCCAUAGGGCUCGGAAGUCAGCUCCAUGUCAAUAUCACCUCCAAGAAUCCAAUCUUUCAAAUCCUACUCCCAAAAAAGAAAAAUCUCACAAAAACAAUAACAAUAAAUCUGCAAAGAGUGCUAAAUUCAAUCUUCAAAACAACACUUACUCUGAGAUUAAAAACGACCUUUAUGAAUCAGAAUUAGAUUACAAAGAUUCUUAUGAUAAAUCACCCCAUAAUAAUGAAAACGAAUCUAAUAAUGGUGCAUACAUACAGCCCCCUAUUCAAUCUAUUUUAAAUCAUGGUCCGCAUAACAAACAAAAAGAACAUAUUGUUUGGGGAGAAAAUUCAAGUAGUGAUGUACCAUCACAAACUAAUGAUGCAUGUGUGCAAGACACAAAAUUUAGGCAAUCUUAUGUUGCAAAUACUCAACAACCUCAUUUGUCAAAUCCUUCAACAUCUACAUAUGAAUUGCAAGAAAGUAUGCCAUCGACUUCUAUUGCAAACAACACAUCAAUAUCUCAAAAUAUGUCAAAUGAAAGUUCACAAUUUCAGGGUAAUGCUCAAAAAAUAGAAUUUAAACAUUAUGAUGAAGAAGAUUUAUGGAAAAAUUACUCAACUACAAACAUUCAAGCAAGCAAAAAGAAACCUUCAAAGUCUUAUGUUUCACCAACUACCUGCCAAACAAAGAACAAGUCAGCAAAGUCGUUUGUUGGUAAAAUUGCAUCCUUUUUCCAGAAGCCAUCAAAUAAAAACAAUCUUGAAGAUUCAUUUAAAAAUGAAAUUGUUAUUGAAUCUAGUGACACAAACAUCAACAAAAAUGGUUAUGAAGAGCAUAUGUCUACAAAUGAUACAAAUGGGGUAAAUUACUAUAAAUCAUAUGGAGCAUUGUCUUACAAAGAUCCCAAAAAAAAUAACUCUGAGAAAUCAAUCAGAUCAAUGUCUUAUGCUCAUUCAUUAGGAUCCAAAGCUCCAAAAGAAUCUAAACCAUCUUUUGUUCAAAGUAUUAAGGCCUUGUUUCAAGAUGCACCAAGCAACAGUGAAAAAAACAAUAACACAUGGGAGGCAUCCACUUUAACCACAGAUUACAAACCUAUGCCAACUCAAACACAAUUGUUGUCAACAAUCCAAAAUAAUGAGAAGGAAUUGUCACAUCAAUAUGUUGAUCUUCAACAAUCAAAUCAAAAGACAAGUGCUGGUAAUCAAAUUGGGAAUGAAUUAAUUGAUGAUCACCAAUUGAUGGAUUCAUCUAAAAGGGCCUCAAUUGAGGAAGUAAGGAGAGAGUUGUCAUUUAAACUUGGAAAACAACUCGAAGCACAAGAGCAAGAGAGCAUGUAUACACCCAAAGUCCAAUAUGAAAAAAAAACUCAUGUUACUCAUGUACGAGGACGAGAUGAUGAACCGAGACGGUACUCCAUAGAUAAAAUUGGAGCUGAUUUAGCCCAAUUAAAACAAAAGACUCAAUCCUCUUCAGAAUCAAGAGAAUCUGUUUACUCUAAUUUUUUAAAAGCUCCAUCAAAAUCUGUUGGGGCCUUGCAUUUUGGACCCAAAUUCAAAGGAGGAAAUGAGUAUGAUGAUGGAGUGGAUUUUGAAGCUGGAAGUCAUUCUAUGAAUCAAAGGUUAUGAGAUUGAUAUGACAUUCAAUAAAGAUGAUCCACAACAUCAAGGAAAAAUAUUAUGAAUUUAGUAUAUACAUGAUCUGAUUUCUCUUCAAAAACAAAAGGGUUUUAAAAGCGUUUUAAAUCACGAAUUAAAUUCUUUCAGCUUUAAAGAAAAUCAAAUAUUGAGAAGGCCAACAAAACUUAUAUGAAAAAAUAUCAAAUAUAUAUAUACACAUCUAUAUUCCAAAUACAAGUCACAAAAAACUCGGUGAUUAAAACAAUUCUAAAAAUAAAAAAAAAAAUUAAGAUUUGAGUAGAUGGUAAUUGUAA